CACGGGGCGGCAGGCCUAACACAUGCAAGUCGAGCGGUAGCACAGAGAGCUUGCUCUCGGGUGACGAGCGGCGGACGGGUGAGUAAUGUCUGGGAAACUGCCUGAUGGAGGGGGAUAACUACUGGAAACGGUAGCUAAUACCGCAUAAUGUCGCAAGACCAAAGUGGGGGACCUUCGGGCCUCAUGCCAUCAGAUGUGCCCAGAUGGGAUUAGCUAGUAGGUGGGGUAACGGCUCACCUAGGCGACGAUCCCUAGCUGGUCUGAGAGGAUGACCAGCCACACUGGAACUGAGACACGGUCCAGACUCCUACGGGAGGCAGCAGUGGGGAAUAUUGCACAAUGGGCGCAAGCCUGAUGCAGCCAUGCCGCGUGUAUGAAGAAGGCCUUCGGGUUGUAAAGUACUUUCAGCGGGGAGGAAGGCGAUAAGGUUAAUAACCUUGUCGAUUGACGUUACCCGCAGAAGAAGCACCGGCUAACUCCGUGCCAGCAGCCGCGGUAAUACGGAGGGUGCAAGCGUUAAUCGGAAUUACUGGGCGUAAAGCGCACGCAGGCGGUCUGUCAAGUCGGAUGUGAAAUCCCCGGGCUCAACCUGGGAACUGCAUUCGAAACUGGCAGGCUAGAGUCUUGUAGAGGGGGGUAGAAUUCCAGGUGUAGCGGUGAAAUGCGUAGAGAUCUGGAGGAAUACCGGUGGCGAAGGCGGCCCCCUGGACAAAGACUGACGCUCAGGUGCGAAAGCGUGGGGAGCAAACAGGAUUAGAUACCCUGGUAGUCCACGCCGUAAACGAUGUCGAUUUGGAGGUUGUGCCCUUGAGGCGUGGCUUCCGGAGCUAACGCGUUAAAUCGACCGCCUGGGGAGUACGGCCGCAAGGUUAAAACUCAAAUGAAUUGACGGGGGCCCGCACAAGCGGUGGAGCAUGUGGUUUAAUUCGAUGCAACGCGAAGAACCUUACCUGGUCUUGACAUCCACAGAACUUAGCAGAGAUGCUUUGGUGCCUUCGGGAACUGUGAGACAGGUGCUGCAUGGCUGUCGUCAGCUCGUGUUGUGAAAUGUUGGGUUAAGUCCCGCAACGAGCGCAACCCUUAUCCUUUGUUGCCAGCGGUCCGGCCGGGAACUCAAAGGAGACUGCCAGUGAUAAACUGGAGGAAGGUGGGGAUGACGUCAAGUCAUCAUGGCCCUUACGACCAGGGCUACACACGUGCUACAAUGGCAUAUACAAAGAGAAGCGACCUCGCGAGAGCAAGCGGACCUCAUAAAGUAUGUCGUAGUCCGGAUUGGAGUCUGCAACUCGACUCCAUGAAGUCGGAAUCGCUAGUAAUCGUAGAUCAGAAUGCUACGGUGAAUACGUUCCCGGGCCUUGUACACACCGCCCGUCACACCAUGGGAGUGGGUUGCAAAAGAAGUAGGUAGCUUAACCUUCGGGAGGGCGCUACCACUUUGGUUACG
rnacentral:rRNA from 1 species